UACGGAGGGUGCAAACGUUGCUCGGAAUUAUUGGGCGUAAAGCGCACGUAGGCGGCCGACUAAGUCGGGUGUGAAAGCCCAGGGCUCAACCCUGGAAGUGCACUCGAAACUGACCGGCUUGAAUAUGGAAGAGGGUCGCGGAAUUCCCGGUGUAGAGGUGAAAUUCGUAGAGAUCGGGAGGAACACCAGAGGCGAAAGCGGCGACCUGGACAGAUACUGACACUCAACUACGAAAGCGUGGGGAGCAAACAGG
rnacentral:rRNA from 1 species